UUCUUUCCUCCCGAGUGCUUGCACUCAAUUGGAAAGAGGAGUGGCGGACGGGUGAGUAACACGUGGGUAACCUACCCAUCAGAGGGGGAUAACACUUGGAAACAGGUGCUAAUACCGCAUAACAGUUUAUGCCGCAUGGCAUAAGAGUGAAAGGCGCUUUCGGGUGUCGCUGAUGGAUGGACCCGCGGUGCAUUAGCUAGUUGGUGAGGUAACGGCUCACCAAGGCCACGAUGCAUAGCCGACCUGAGAGGGUGAUCGGCCACACUGGGACUGAGACACGGCCCAGACUCCUACGGGAGGCAGCAGUAGGGAAUCUUCGGCAAUGGACGAAAGUCUGGCCGAGCAACGCCGCGUGAGUGAAGAAGGUUUUCGGAUCGUAAAACUCUGUUGUUAGAGAAGAACAAGGACGUUAGUAACUGAACGUCCCCUGACGGUAUCUAACCAGAAAGCCACGGCUAACUACGUGCCAGCAGCCGCGGUAAUACGUAGGUGGCAAGCGUUGUCCGGAUUUAUUGGGCGUAAAGCGAGCGCAGGCGGUUUCUUAAGUCUGAUGUGAAAGCCCCCGGCUCAACCGGGGAGGGUCAUUGGAAACUGGGAGACUUGAGUGCAGAAGAGGAGAGUGGAAUUCCAUGUGUAGCGGUGAAAUGCGUAGAUAUAUGGAGGAACACCAGUGGCGAAGGCGGCUCUCUGGUCUG
rnacentral:rRNA from 1 species